rnacentral:rRNA from 1 species
UGCCAGCAGCCGCGGUAAUACGGGGGGUGCAAGCGUUAAUCGGAAUUACUGGGCGUAAAGCGCGCGUAGGCGGUUUGUUAAGUCAGAUGUGAAAGCCCUGGGCUCAACCUGGGAAUUGCAUUUGAUACUGGCAGACUAGAGUAUGGUAGAGGGAAGUGGAAUUCCGGGUGUAGCGGUGAAAUGCGUAGAUAUCCGGAGGAACAUCAGUGGCGAAGGCGACUUCCUGGACCAAUACUGACGCUGAGGUGCGAAAGCGUGGGGAGCAAACAGGAUUAGAUA